UGAGCAAUCUGCCUUUCAGAGGGGGAUACCGAUUGGAAACGAUCGUUAAUACCGCAUAACAUAAUUGAACCGCAUGAUUUGAUUAUCAAAGAUUUAUCGCUGAAAGAUGAGCUCGCGUCUGAUUAGCUAGUUGGUAAGGUAACGGCUUACCAAGGCGACGAUCAGUAGCCGGACUGAGAGGUUGAUCGGCCACAUUGGGACUGAGACACGGCCCAGACUCCUACGGGAGGCAGCAGUGGGGAAUAUUGCACAAUGGAGGAAACUCUGAUGCAGCGAUGCCGCGUGAGGGAAGAAGGUUUUAGGAUUGUAAACCUCUGUCUUCAGGGACGAAAAAAAAGACGGUACCUGAGGAGGAAGCUCCGGCUAACUACGUGCCAGCAGCCGCGGUAAUACGUAGGGAGCGAGCGUUGUCCGGAAUUACUGGGUGUAAAGGGAGCGUAGGCGGGAUCGCAAGUCAGAUGUGAAAACUAUGGGCUUAACCCAUAAACUGCAUUUGAAACUGUGGUUCUUGAGUGAAGUAGAGGUAAGCGGAAUUCCUAGUGUAGCGGUGAAAUGCGUAGAUAUUAGGAGGAACA
rnacentral:rRNA from 1 species